AAAACAUAGCCCUUGCUUUAAUCAAAGGUGUAACCUGCCCAAUGGCUUCAAUAUAAGAAGAAAAUUCUUUUAAUCAAGCUAAAAGGACGCAGUAUUCUGACUGUGAUAAUGUAGCAUAAUCACUCGCCACCUAAUUAGUGGAUAGUAUGAAUGGUUGAACGAGUAUUACACUGUCUCAAGUAGAGAAAAAUGAAAUUAAAAUAAUAGUAAAGAUGCUAUUUAAGAUUGUAAGACGAAAAGACCCUAUAGAGCUUAACUAUAUUUUACGUAAUAAACCCAAUAAAGAACAAAACGUAAAUUGGUAGUUUGGUUGGGGCAACCAUCUUUUAAAAAAAACAAAGAUAGUAUUUAAAUAAAAUUUUACUGUAUAAUCAAUAAAUUUAACAGUUAUAAAAAUAGACUAUAAUGACCCACUAGAAAAAAUAAUUACCCUAGUGAUUAAUAAAUAAAAGCUACCUUAGGGAUAACAGGAUAAUUUUGCCUUAGAGACCUAAUCAAAGGCGAAGUUUGUCACCUCUAUGUUGAAUUAAGAUGACCUGAAAAUGCAGAAGUUUUCAAAGGUAGGUCUGUUCGACCUUUAAAAUCUUACAUGAUUU
rnacentral:rRNA from 1 species